GAACGCUGGCGGCAUGCCUUACACAUGCAAGUCGAACGGCAGCACGGGAGCAAUCCUGGUGGCGAGUGGCGAACGGGUGAGUAAUAUAUCGGAACGUGCCCAGUCGUGGGGGAUAACGUAGCGAAAGCUACGCUAAUACCGCAUACGAUCUAUGGAUGAAAGCGGGGGAUCGCAAGACCUCGCGCGAUUGGAGCGGCCGAUAUCAGAUUAGGUAGUUGGUGAGGUAAAGGCUCACCAAGCCGACGAUCUGUAGCUGGUCUGAGAGGACGACCAGCCACACUGGGACUGAGACACGGCCCAGACUCCUACGGGAGGCAGCAGUGGGGAAUUUCGGACAAUGGGCGCAAGCCUGAUCCAGCAAUGCCGCGUGCAGGAUGAAGGCCUUCGGGUUGUAAACUGCUUUUGUACGGAACGAAACGGUGAGCUCUAAUACAGUUUGCUAAUGACGGUACCGUAAGAAUAAGCACCGGCUAACUACGUG
rnacentral:rRNA from 1 species